GAGCGUAUAGCUCAGUGGUAGAGUACAUGCUUAGCAUGCAUGAGGUCCUGGGUUCAAUCCUCAGUACUUCCA
rnacentral:tRNA from 1 species